UAUCGGUCAGAUCAAGUCAUAAAAACAUUCAGUAGGCUUUAAAUACAAACGGGCACCUCUGUCGAUACUUACUCACACGACAUAGCCUGCGGCAAUGUCCGACUCAAUGAUUUACAGUCGAUGCAAAUGACUUAGCCAGUUAAAACAAAUGCAAAAUAACUCCGAUAUCGAUGUUAACAAUUUAGCUAAAAAUAAUCCAAAAUAAGCCAUCGAUUUGAUGUCUCAUGAUUGACCGGUCACGCGAUAACGAAAGUACAUCCCCAUUGAAUUCGGUUCUGUGGCCCACUUCAAAAGGUGAGGAGGCCCUUUCCUGUCAGGCUCAGCAGGAGGUUGCAUACUAAUGCUCUACCUGCCUGUUAGAAGUGCAGACAGCUGACCUGAGAACAGAAGGUAGAGAACACAUGUCACGCCAUAGGUAUCAAAGUCCACUGGCCCAGCACUUCAGCAAGCCUCACAUCAUGACGGGGAGCAGGCUGCACAUGAGAAAACCAGCAAACCAGAUCGUUGUGAUCAGUGUGUCUCCUCAUCAAACAAAAUCCUCUCAAAUCUGCACAGGCAGACCUCCGCCCCGUGUCAUCGGAGGCCAGCCGGCUUAUACUGUCCAUCGGAUACUGGGUGCAGCGGUCCUGGCAGUAUCUGGUGGACUGGGAAGGCUACAGUCCCGAGGAGCGCUCCUAGGUUCCUGCCAAAGACAUACUGGACCCUGACCUCAUUCGACAGUUCAGGGCCCUCCACCCCGAGAAAGCUGGACAAUGACCCAACACACUUCCAGGCUGUGUAAGGGCUAUUUGACCAAGGAGGAGAGUCAUGGAGUGCUGCAUCAGAUGACCUGGUCUCCACAAUCCCCCGACCUCAACCCAAUUGAGAUGGUUUGGGAUAAGACCGCAGAGUGAAAGAAAAGCAACCAACAAGUGCUCAGCAUAUGUGGGAACUCCUUCAAGACUGUUGGAAAAGCAUUCCAGGUGAAGCUGGUUGAGAGAAUGCUAAGAGUGUGCAAAUCUGUCAUCAAGGCAAAAGGUGGCUACUUUGAAGAAUCUGAAAUAUAAAAUAUAUUUUGAUUUGUUAAACACUUUUUUGGUUACUACAUGAUUCCAUAUGUGUUAUUUCAUAGUUUUGAUGUCUUCACUAUUAUUCUACAAUGUAGAAAAUAGUCAAAUUAAAGAAAAACCCUUGAAUGAGUAGGUGUGUCCAAACUUUUGACUGGUACUGUAUAUAUACAACUCAAGAAAAUAACCUUUUUUGACUGCAGCUAGGCCAUUCCACUAAUUCGGUGCCUUUUAAGAAGUGUAAGGUGGUUAUUUCACCUAUUAAAACAAUUAUGUCAUAAAGAGCAAAUGUUCAACUUAAUAAAAAAAUUGUUUUCCCAUCUAAAUUGGUUAAAUAAAAUUUAAAAAAUGCUAUAGUAAAUGCCUUUUAAGUGCCAAAUAAAGUAACAUGGUUGAUUAUAAGGUUGAUGAGUUCAUGUUAAAUCAGCCAUAAAUCCCCUUGUGACAGGGUGAAUGGAAGCUUGUGUGCAACAGGGAGUGGUAAUUAAAUGCAAGCUUCACAAAAAAAAAUGUAAUUGUUAAAACAAUUGUAGCCUGUCUACAGUAGGUUGGUUGGAUGUGUUAAUUAUGAUUAAAU
ensembl:lncRNA